rnacentral:tRNA from 1 species
GAGGGUAUAGCUCAAAUGGUAGAGCGCAUGCUUAGCAUGCAUAAGGUUCUGGGUUCAAUCCCCAGUACCUCCU